GACGAACGCUGGCGGCGUGCUUAACACAUGCAAGUCGAACGGAAAGGCCCUGCUCUUGUGGGGUGCUCGAGUGGCGAACGGGUGAGUAACACGUGAGUAACCUGCCCUUGACUUUGGGAUAACUUCAGGAAACUGGGGCUAAUACCGGAUAGGAGCUCCUGCUGCAUGGUGGGGGUUGGAAAGUUUCGGCGGUUGGGGAUGGACUCGCGGCUUAUCAGCUUGUUGGUGGGGUAGUGGCUUACCAAGGCUUUGACGGGUAGCCGGCCUGGGAGGGUGACCGGCCACAUUGGGACUGAGAUACGGCCCAGACUCCUACGGGAGGCAGCAGUGGGGAAUCUUGCGCAAUGGGCGGAAGCCUGAUGCAGCAACGCCGCGUGCGUGAUGACGGCUUUCGGGUUGUAAACCGCUUUCGCCUGUGACGAAGCGUGAGUGACGGUAAUGGGUAAAGAAGCACCGGCUAACUACGUG
rnacentral:rRNA from 1 species